rnacentral:lncRNA from 1 species
UUUUUUUUUUUUUUUUUUUGACAGAAAGGGGAAGAACCCCCCUAUUUCAUUAAGAAAUAGGAAACAUAACAAAACGAGUGCAAUUACAUCCAGGCGGCGAACUUAAGGUACCAUAGACCUCAAACGCCUAACCGACGAUCAACUACUGGACAGCCUUACUACAGACUGUGAAGUCACUAGCGAUUUUAUUGAGUUCGACUUAGCGAAACUCACACACGAGAUAAAGACCUAACGAUGGAAAGUAUCAAAAGCCGACCAUUCAUCAGCUAACAUAACGAUAUAUUACAAACCAGCAGCCAAGAGCCAGCAGAGAACUACCAAACUGCAACCACACAUCAAUAAGCAAGACAGGGCCAAAGACUUUUUGUCAACCCACGAUCCUUCUGGACACAGGAGCCCAUCCUUUCGCGCGCGCAAAGAACUCAUUUACCGUCCUUCGAAUUCGCAAGCUUCCUUCCAGCAGCAUCUCUCUUGCUGUCUCGCUCUGCAAAACAGACCAAGCAUCGAGCCAAAAGCAACAGCUAUAGAUCACUUCUAUAGGAUCAAAAACCAACUUGCCAUUAAAACAAGCAUUAUUCCUUGUUCUCCAGAUUGCCCAUAAAACUGCCCCACAACCCACCAGCACUAGAUUGCGAACAGAUUUGUUAAAGGAUUGAAUCCAAUCACAAAACAAGUGAGCAGUUGUAGAAGGAGUAGAAGACAAAUUAAAGGCAACCUGGACAAUUCUCCAAAUAAACUUCGCAACAAAGCACUCAAACAAAAGAUGAGGAGAGGAUUCACAGAUACCACAAAAGCUGCAAUCCGAGGAACCCACCCAACCUCUUUUUAAGAGAUUCUCCUUAGACAAGAUACCAUCCUUCAGAAGAAGCCAUAGGAAAAUUUUUAUUUUCUGAGGAAACUUAAUUUUCUAGAGAAAUUUAUAAGGGACUUUCACAGCAUCACUUCUGAUACGAGAAUAUAGCGACUUGACAGAGAACCCCUUAUUCUCUAGAGUCCAAAUAGCUUUGUCCCUCUCAUUUGAUAAGACAAAGUUCUCACACAUAAUCUAGAGGGUUUCAAAUAAAGUGGUGGUUUCGGGCCCCAAAAUUCUUCUAAAACUCAAAGAAUUGAGAUUAGACUGAAGAGCACAAUUCACGGUAAUAUUCUUAUCAAAGGUUAAGUCAAAAAGCCUUUUACAUCUUACAGCCAGGGGGGAAUCGCCACACCAGGUGUCAAACCAAAAACUGGUGUCCUCACCAUUCCCAAUGAUUUUUUUUCUGUAUUUAAGGAAAUGAUCCUUAACCUUCAUUAACCCUUUCCAGAAGUGGGAGUCAUUGGGUCCUUUUUUCACCAAAGCUAAAGGAAUUCCUUUCAGAUAUUUAGCUUUGACAAUCUUCUGCCACAGCCCAUCAGAAGAAUCUAAUUUCCACAACCAUUUGGUUAAAAGGCUGAUGUUCAUGCAUUUAAAGUCCACCAACCCUAAACCCCCUUGGUCCUUUGGGAGACAAACUGUGUCUCAGUCGACCAAGUGGUACUUUCUAGUAGCACAACCCCCUUGCCAAAGCAGCCUUUUCCUAUACAUGUCUAUCUUUUUUAGAACCAGAUUAGGAGCUGGAUAAAGAGACAACAUGUAUAAAGGCACAUUAGCCAGACAACUAUUAAGCAAAGUUACUUUUCCCCCAUGCUAAGAAACCUCCCCUUCCAGGCUCCCAACUUUUUUUCCACCUUUUCUUCUGUGGGGAGCCAAAGGGAGCAACCAAUUUUCUUGUUAUCAAUAGGGAUACCCAAAUACUUCAGGGGCAGCUCUUUGUAAGGGCAAGUGAAGAUUUCAACAAAAGAAUCCUUAAGAGUUACUGCAUCACCAAAGCAGACCACCUCGCUUUUAUGAAAAUUUAUUUUCAAGCCCGACAUUUGUUCAAACAAGAGUAAGAUAAACUUCAGAUUCCUAGCCAUACCCAAGUCAUUUUGCAACAAGAAGAUGGUAUCAUCUGCAUAUUGGAGAUUUACCACCCCAUUAUCUACAAUAUGAGGAAUGAGCCCAGUAAUUAAGCCUUCUUGCUGAGCUUUUCUAACUAAAUUAGAAAGGCCAUCCGCAGAAAGAUUGAAAAGAAGAGGAGAAAAGGGGUCACCCUGUCUGACCCCUUUGUGAGUAGAGAAGAAAGGACCAGUUAAGUCAUUUGUCCUAACAGCCACCUUGCCACCUCUGACAGUUCUCAUAACCCAGUCACACCAUUUAACUCCAAAACCUUUCAUAAUCAUCAUUUGAUAUAAAAACUGCCAAUUAACCUUGUCAUAAGCCUUUUCAAAAUCUAUUUUUAACAAAAUACCACUUUGUUUACCCCUUUUCACUUCAUGUAAAAUCUCAUGUAGGGCAACAACACUAUCAAGAAUAUACCUCCCUCUAAUAAAACCAGACUGAGUAUCACUAAUCACCUUUUUGAUGCAACAAGCAAGCCUAUUGUUCAGAACUUUAGUAAUGAUUUUGUAACAAACAUUUAACAGACAAAUUGGCCUAAAAUAUUUCAUCUCAGACGCAUUCUCAACCUUAGGAAGCAAAGUAAUCACACCAAAAUUCAGACGUUCUAUGGGAAGCACUUCAUUAUAAAAAUCUACAAACAAUGCAAACAUAUCCUUUUUUAUAAUAUCCCAGAAGGUCUAGAAGAAUUCCGCCGGCAAACCAUCGGGGCCCGGAGCACUAUUGUGUUUUAACGAGUCAAUCACCAUUUUAAUUUCAUCAUAAGAGAAAGGGGAAGUAAGAAAAUUUCUAUCAUUCUCAUCUAGCUGGGUCAAGUUAAGGUUUCCCAUGCUAAUGUGAGAAAUAUUCGAAGGACCAAACAGCUCUUUGUAAAAGUCAGUAGCCACUUUGUUCAACUCCAUUUCACCCACGACAACAGAACCAUUAUGAAAAAGAGAUUGAAUUCUAAUCUUUCUUCUUCUCCCUUUAGCUUUCAAAUGGAAAUAUUUUGUAUUCCCAUCUCCUUCAACCACUUGUUUCUCUCGAGCUAUCUAUUUCAUUUUAAUUUCUUCUUCAGAAAUAAUUGAUCUCAAGGCAAGCUCGCAUUGCAAUUUUUCUUGUCUUUCCGAUUCAGACAAGAUCUUACAUUCACUCUCAAUGUCCCAAGAAUUGAUUUUUUCUGAAUCAAUUCCUUUUUAGUUUUUUUAUAAGCUCCUUCAACAUUACAGUGCCACCCUUUCAAAGUCUUUUUGAGUCUCUUUAUUUUUUCUUUCCACACAUCAAUACUGCACCUACUCCUAACCGGGAGACACCAGCUGUUAGUCACUACCUGGCGAAAAUCGGCUCUAGAAUUCCAACACAAUUCAUAUCUAAAGAUCCUAUUAAUAGGGGCACGGUCGCCUGUGUCAAGACAUAAAGGGGAGUGAUCCGAAAAGGACCUAUUUAAACCAAAAAUCAUCACACUCCGAUACGCCAAAUCCCAUUCUGGACUUACCAAAAACCUAUCAAGUUUUUCAAAGGUAGGGUCUAAACGGUUAUUGGACCAAGUGUACUGUCUACCAACCAAAUCCAACUCAAUCAAGCCAUAUUGCUCAAUAAUUGCAUUAAAGAGAAAGCUCCAUUUAUUAGUACCCCCAGGCUUAUUUUUGUCACUCUCUCUUCUAAUGAUAUUGAAAUCCCCACCAACAAGAAGGGGGAGAGAGGAACUAUGACAAAAGGAGGCCAGCUCACAUAAAAAAUCCCUUUUACUGACUUCUUGAGCAGCACCGUAUACAUUUAAAAAAAUCCACGAAAAAUUCUUCUCUUUUGUGAGUGAUAAGGCUGCUGAUCAUAAACUUACCACACUUGUGACUAAGAAUGUCAAAGGUAUCAGAGUUAAAGCCCGACAGCAACCCACCAGAUCUCCCAUUGGGUUCAGCAGAGACCCAAAUAAAACUCCUAGUGCCACACAGACCAUCCAACCAAUUCUGAUUAAAGACUUUCCUAUUGAUUUUCUGUAAACCAAUAAAAUCCAACUUCUCUUCACUUGUGAGUUCCUUGAUAAACUCAUAUUUGCCUUUUUUUUCAAACCCUGAUAAUUCCAUAUGAUGCCUUUCAUAGGAAACUAGGAUAUUGAGAGUGAGCCUUGCCCUUUUUUUUCUCCUCUUGCUAGAGGAGCCUUUGGCAGCAAAGGGAAAAUGUUUUUUCCCUUUUGAUUUUUUGGACCCACUUAUGUAAACCAUGUCCAAGGCACUUUCCUUUUCUAAAUUAAGGAAAAAGUCCUCAUCAGACACAUUUCCCAUGUCAUUUUGAGAGUCAUCAAUGGGCUGUGAAGAGACUACGUCACGAUCUUCAGAAAGAACCAGAGGAGAAGAGUCCUGUCUACCACCACUUGAGUUCAACAUAACAUUUAAUUUGGUUUCUUCAAGCAUUUUUAUGUCCUGAAGACUGAGCUCUAUUUCAUUUUUAUUAUUUCCUAGGCACACACCUAACGAAUUUGCAAGGUCUACUAGCACAGCAUCUUUAGUAUUUAAGACAGAGAAGGGAUUCCAGCAGUUACCUUUAUGUAUGAAGGUGUCUUUAGCUUCAGCUCUGUUGAUAGCUUUCUCAGUAAUGUUCAAAUCAUCAUCAGCUUCAAGUCUUGGGCUCCUCCUCAGCCCCUCAAACCCCUCUGCCAUUUUAGCUUUGCCUUUUUUAUCUCUCUGAGCAACCACCCCAUCACCAGUGUUCUCAGCUUUGCAAUUUUCAUUCCCACUUUCUUGUGAGCACUGCAGAUUGACACCCACACUUUUAGCUAACUCAGCCAAUUCCUGAGAGCUAAGGAGAUCCUCCUCACUGAGCUCCAAGUUAACCUGACCUCCACUGUCCUCUUCAUUGUGCUGCAGUGUUUUGUCCCCUUUGUGGGUUAUCUUUUGACCUUCACUCUCAGUAACAGUAGCAGUUUUUCUAGAGUGACCUUUGCCAGCCGAAGAAGCAACCUCAUUCUUCUCCUUGCCGUCCACAGACUCCUUUCUAGCUUUUUUCCCUGUCGAUUUAGACAUAGAUCCUUCAGAAACACAUGUAUUGGAUUUCACUCUCUUACCAAGAUUCGAAUUCUCCUCAUUCCACCCUUCUUCCACAAUUGAAUCCACUUUAAAAUACACAUCAAACAGAAAAGGCUUGACACCAACUUCCACUAUUUUUGGAAUCAUGUUAAUGCUCUUAACAUGAACCUUAAACUUGACCGACUCUGACAUCUCCAGAGAUUUUAAAUCCACUUCCUCAACAGCCCCCAAGAUCGAUCCCAGCUCGCAGAUAGCCUGGUAGUGUCUUAACUCAUCUAGCACAUUCUCCGCACUCAUCCAAACAGUAUGCAGCCUUGCUUUCGCAUUAGCCUGACAGUUCCAGGGCAGCACCAUGAUUUUAGCUCCGGACAUCUUCAUUUUGACCUCUAUAAACUGACUCAGCUCAUCUAGCUUAUCUUGAGACGGAAAAUGCAUCACAUAACCAGCUGGACAUUUCUCUGCCUUCCAAGUUCUUCCCCAAGGAAAGUGAAAGCUAAAAUCCUUUUCAAGCUCAGAGGCAGACACAAACCCUUCCAGAAUCUUAACCAACCCCAAGCAAGAUAGAUUAGGUUUCCUGAGACUGGGUUUAGCAUACUGGGAUGAGAAGAACCCUAGCCCAUCUGCAGCCAUGCCCACAAUCGGCAUCAUGGGCUUAAUCUGUCGCGGCCAAACACAUUUAGCCAUCACAUGGGUGUCCUUGCGACAGAUCUCACACCAAAGAGACUUGCAGCAAUCCCUUGCGUGAUGACCUUCUUCCCCACACUUCUGGCAGAAAAAUCUCCUCCCCAUUUCAUUCUCAGACCCAGAAGAAUGAAGGGAGAAAUUAGGGUUACCUUGCACGAUCAUUUCGCCAGUGGAAGAAGAGUCGGCUACAUCCUUUUUGGGGAUCGUCUUUCCAGGGGGGAGGCCUCAAUCUCCAGCUCAGAUUCCUGUUUCUACUCCACUGCGGCGGAUCGCGAGCCUCCUCCCUGUUGUUCCCAGUGCCCCAUUUUUGGCUCCAACCUUUGGCACCCAUCGCCUCACGCCUUGCAACCGGCAGAGAUCUCCCCGAUCCAAUCCUCGACCACUCCUCCUCCGAGGACGGGGGCUGGAUCGGCACCCACCUCCACCCACCACUGAAACUAGAUCUCACCGAGGAAGGGGAUGACCAGAUCGAGGCAAGUAAAGCGGCCAAGUGAGGGAGCGAAGGAGAGCCGAUUAGGUCAAGUUGCGGCACAGCGGUUUCCACCCUUGAUUUGGCUAGAGGCGAUGUGUCUUCAUCCUAUGCCCCAUCCCACAUCGAAUGGGCCUCCAAACCACCAUGGGACCGAUCUCCAUUAAACGGCUCAAAGGAAACAUCAACCCCAGGAACCCACCCCCGCCACAGCCUCAUUGCAACAAAAUCACAUGGCUAUCGGCAGCAACGGAGAAGCCCAAGGAGGAAGGCGGCCUAGGAGAGGGGGGGGGAGAAUAAGAACACCUCACCAGAGAGGACCAGAGGACGGAGGACGAGAGCCGACGAGUUCAAUCUGAAUGUCUGGCCUGCCACGGGAGGACUACUAAUGGGUGUUUGUCGCCGGCGAAGGGCCCGACGAAGACCAGGCGAAGGGGUCGACGAGGCUAC